rnacentral:rRNA from 1 species
GCGUACCUUUUGUAUAAUGGGUCAGCGACUUAUAUUCUGUAGCAAGGUUAACCGUAUAGGGGAGCCGGAGGGAAACCGAGUCUUAAUUGGGCGUUAAGUUGCAGGGUAUAGACCCGAAACCCGGUGAUCUAGCCAUGGGCAGGUUGAAGGUUGGGUAACACUAACUGGAGGACCGAACCGACUAAUGUUGAAAAAUUAGCGGAUGACCUGUGGCUGGGGGUGAAAGGCCAAUCAAACCGGGAGAUAGCUGGUUCUCCCCGAAAGCUAUUUAGGUAGCGCCUCGUGAAUUCAUCUCCGGGGGUAGAGCACUGUUUCGGCUAGGGGGCCAUCCCGGCUUACCAACCCGAUGCAAACUGCGAAUACCGGAGAAUGUUAUCACGGGAGACACACGGCGGGUGCUAACGUCCGUCGUGAAGAGGGAAACAACCCAGACCGCCAGCUAAGGUCCCAAAGUCAUGGUUAAGUGGGAAACGAUGUGGGAAGGCCCAGACAGCCAGGAUGUUGGCUUAGAAGCAGCCAUCAUUUAAAGAAAGCGUAAUAGCUCACUGGUCGAGUCGGCCUGCGCGGAAGAUGUAACGGGGCUAAACCAU